rnacentral:rRNA from 1 species
UGGGGAAUAUUGGGCAAUGGGCGCAAGCCUGACCCAGCAACGCCGCGUGAGGGAAGAAGGCCUUCGGGUUGUAAACCUCUGUCCUUGGGGACGAAAAAAAUGACGGUACCCAAGGAGGAAGCUCCGGCUAACUACGUGCCAGCAGCCGCGGUAAUACGUAGGGAGCGAGCGUUGUCCGGAAUUACUGGGCGUAAAGGGUGCGUAGGUGGCUUGGCAAGUCAGAUGUGAAAUCCCCGGGCUUAACUCGGGUGCUGCAUUUGAAACUGCUGAGCUUGAGUGCAGGAGAGGAAAGCGGAAUUCCUAGUGUAGCGGUGAAAUGCGUAGAUAUUAGGAGGAACACCAGUGGCGAAGGCGGCUUUCUGGACUGUUACUGACACUGAGGCACGAAAGCGUGGGGAGCAAACA